rnacentral:rRNA from 1 species
UGCAUAUCAAUAAGCGGAGGAAAAGAAACCAACAGGGAUUGCCUCAGUAGCGGCGAGUGAAGCGGCAAGAGCUCAGAUUUGAAAUCGUGCUUUGCGGCACGAGUUGUAGAUUGCAGGUUGGAGUCUGUGUGGAAGGCGGUGUCCAAGUCCCUUGGAACAGGGCGCCCAGGAGGGUGAGAGCCCCGUGGGAUGCCGGCGGAAGCAGUGAGGCCCUUCUGACGAGUCGAGUUGUUUGGGAAUGCAGCUCCAAGCGGGUGGUAAAUUCCAUCUAAGGCUAAAUACUGGCGAGAGACCGAUAGCGAACAAGUACUGUGAAGGAAAGAUGAAAAGCACUUUGAAAAGAGAGUGAAACAGCACGUGAAAUUGUUGAAAGGGAAGGGUAUUGCGCCCGACAUGGGGAUUGCGCACCGCUGCCUCUCGUGGGCGGCGCUCUGGGCUUUCCCUGGGCCAGCAUCGGUUCUUGCUGCAGGAGAAGGGGUUCUGGAACGUGGCUCUUCGGAGUGUUAUAGCCAGGGCCAGAUGCUGCGUGCGGGGACCGAGGACUGCGGCCGUNNAGUCCNCGAUGNGNAAGUUCGGGU